GAUGAACGCUGGCGGCGUGCUUAACACAUGCAAGUCGAACGGAAAGGCUCCUGCUUGCAGGGGUACUCGAGUGGCGAACGGGUGAGUAACACGUGGGUGAUCUGCCCUGCACUUCGGGAUAAGCCUGGGAAACUGGGUCUAAUACCGGAUAGGACGAUGGUUUGGAUGCCAUUGUGGAAAGUUUUUUCGGUGUGGGAUGAGCUCGCGGCCUAUCAGCUUGUUGGUGGGGUAAUGGCCUACCAAGGCGUCGACGGGUAGCCGGCCUGAGAGGGUGUACGACCACAUUGGGACUGAGAUACGGCCCAGACUCCUACGGGAGGCAGCAGUGGGGAAUAUUGCACAAUGGGCGCAAGCCUGAUGCAGCGACGCCGCGUGGGGGAUGACGGCCUUCGGGUUGUAAACUCCUUUCGCUAGGGACGAAGCGCAAGUGACGGUACCUGGAGAAGAAGCACCGGCUAACUACGUG
rnacentral:rRNA from 1 species